GAUUACCCCUCUGUAACCAUUCUCAAAACCUUCUACUUUGUUAGCCAAAAAAUAAUCUCAGGAGGACAGCAGCACUCCAGUGUCUCCCCAGCAGCUUCGGUCACCUGAGAAAAGUUCUGUCAGUGGGAUUAUUUCUCUGCUGGUAAACUUCCCACCUGACAUUCAUUUACAUGAUUGAAAUGUAGACUUCAGAUGCCUGACUCCAUUCCUUUCUUCACUGCUUGACUCCCUGUGUAGCCAUGGCUCCCAUGGGGAAGAUGUGUGAGGUGAACACCAGAAGGAAGCACCAGCACAGGAGUUAACCACAUGACUAGCUAAAGGUCUGGAAUGAGAAUAUCUUGGACUUAGUCCCAUUCUUUUUUGUAUGACUACAGAAGAGGAUUUGCAAGCAAAGGGAGAAGGAAAAAGUGGGAAAGUACUGUGGAUAUUUCUCAAAACAAGUUGACCAUUAUGGAUUUCGUGUUAUCAAAGCCAUGGUUGCAACUCUAGGCUGUUUGGACUCCAAAUCAUCUCAUAUUCUUCAGAUUCUCUGGAAUGAGUUAGCAGAACAGCUUUUACUGAAAAAAAAAUCCAGCUGACUGAAGAAAAGCCCUCAGAUGGGACUUUCUUCUGCAGGCAAACAGAUUUCAAAAUAUGAAAAUUCUCUGAGAGAGAAUCCUUCCUUUUUCCACAUAGCACUAUUUCCAAGAAACUGCAUAGCCAUGUUGAAGAUCUUUAAAUAACCACUGAAUACUUCUGUUCUACCAGCAAAGUAAUGUUGUACUUUUGAUUGUCAAAAACAUUUAGAUAAUGAACACCCAUUGAUUCCUCCAUAAAGAUAUAUGGGGGGGGGGGGGGGGGGAUGGGGAGAUAUUCUCAGUUCUGGAUUUCAAAUCCUUCCAUUUAAAUCACAGCAAUAAAAAGAGCACAUUGGACAUGGCUUAGUUAAUUCAUUUUGUAUUGCUUUUAUUUUGAUUUAAUGAGAAUGCUGUUAAGGAGAGCACAAUGCAUAAGGAGAGCUGAUGGCUGGAAAUGGGAUCUAUUUAGGUUAGAAGUCAGGUACAGAUAUUUAGCAGUGAGGUUAUUUAACCUUCAGAAGAGCUUACUCUUACCAAAAACUGUGGUGAAUUUUUCAUCCCUGCAAUUUGUUUUUUUAACCCAGAUUGAACAUAAUUUAGGGCAUCCCUAUUAACUGGGCUAUAUGGGACAUCAGGCUAAUGAAUAGGAAUGUUCCUUCUACUAUGUAUGAAUCUAUGUUGGUGGAAGCACAGAAAAUUCUACCUCUGUAAAAAUUAAGAAACAUUCAGGUACCUGAACAUGGACUUUGGCUAGAGGUAGUUGGGAAUUUUUCACUGAAAUGAUGUUCCACCUUGCAAUUUCCAAGGCAGACAAAAAAGAGUAGGAUAGCAUUUUUUAAGUGUCAUACCUUUCUGAUGGAGAACUAAAAUUAAAAUUGCUAUUUUAUUUUAUGUUAGUUGACCUGAAUAUGAGUAUUGAUUUUGUUUUGACAGUGAUCUAAACUAUUUUCCUUCAGAUCAAUAUUAAAUAAAUAUAAUAUAAAAUAGCAUUUUGCCAUAGAUAAAUUUUACCUUUCUAGAACCUGAAUUCUUUUAUAAGCUGAGAUUUUUGUCAAACACAUAUUCAGGAAUGCAUUGUUUGGAAUCAUAUGACUCAGCUAAUGUGUGCUCUUGAUGGUUUUUAUUUGGUCCUAAGGCCUGUCUGUCAGCCUGCUAUGGAAGCAGAAGACAAAACUGGAUUGAGAGAAUAAGAAGAUGAAAUUUUAUGCUGGAAUAAAACUGAGUAACAGAACCACUUAUUUCUAAUAAAUUCAGAUGUUUUAACUGAAUAUGUCAAAAUGGGACCUCUUGACAUUUCUGAAUGCAUUUUAUUUCUUGGAGUUUGUUCAGUGUUCUCAUUCUGCAUCAGAAUGAUUCCAAGUUUUGCAGAGGUUUGACUGAAUUUUGCCCAGUUUCUGUUUUCAGAUAAAUUUUUGAAACUUCAUCAUGGAAGACUGGGGCUCACAGAAAUAAUAUGGUUAUGUUUUUUCUUUUUUAAAAAACAACUUUUCUGGAUGGAAGGGAUACUGACUCUCUAUUAAGACAUAUAAAAGCAGAAAAAAUGGAUGAACUUUGAAGGCUGAGCCAUAAGCAAGUCACAAAAAAUUCUUAAAUAUCUUGCUUCAUCUUCCCUACAGUAUUUUACUCACCUUUCAGUAUUAACUAUUUCUACUCCAAUUGAAAAUUCAACAAAAUUCAUUUAA